rnacentral:rRNA from 1 species
GUUCUGCCUGCCCGGUGACAUAAGUUAAACGGCUGCAGUACUCUGACUGUGCAAAGGUAGCAUAAUCAUUUGUCCAUUAAUUGUGGACUGGCAUCAACGGCUAGACGACAAGAAAGCUGUCUCUUUGUAUAUUAUUAUAACUUAGCUUUAAGGUGCAGAGACCUUAAUUUUAAAGCGGGACGAGAAGACCCCGUGGAGCUUUAGUUCGGUGUUAAAUUGUAAUUAAAGAACUUAAGUUGGGGCAACUGCUAUUAAGAAGUAAAACAAUGGUUUAUUUUUAUACAAAUUGAAUUUAUAAUGACCCAAAAUAUUUUGAAAAUAAGAAAAAGUUACCCCGGGGAUAACAGCGUAAUUUUUCCCGAAAGCACCUAUUGACGGAGAAGUUUGCGACCUCGAUGUUGGACCAGGGCAUCCUGAGGGUGCAGCAGCUCUCAAGGGUUGGUUUGUUCAACCAUGAAAGCCCUACGUGAUCUGAGUUCAGACCGG